GACGGAGGAGGCAAGCGUUGUCCGGAAUCAUUGGGCGUAAAGAGCGCGUAGGCUGUUUUCCAAGUCGUAUGUGAAAACCUCAGGCUUAACUUGAGGAUUGCAUAUGAUACUGGUUAACUUGAGUGCAGUAGAGGAAAGUGGAAUUCCUGGUGUAGCGGUAAAAUGCGCAGAUAUCAGGAAGAACACCAGUGGCGAAGGCGGCUUUCUGGGCUGCUACUGACGCUGAGGCGCGAAAGCUAGGGGAGCGAACAGG
rnacentral:rRNA from 1 species